GCAGUUGUGGCCGAGUGGUUAAGGCAAUGGACUAGAAAUCCAUUGAGGUCUCCCCGCACAGGUUCGAAUCCUGUCGACUGCG
rnacentral:tRNA from 1 species